GAGGCGAACCGGGGGAACUGAAACAUCUAAGUACCCCGAGGAAAAGAAAUCAACCGAGAUUCCGAAAGUAGCGGCGAGCGAAAUUGGACUAGCCCUUAAGCUUUACACGCGUUAGACGAACGGUCUGGAAAGUCCGACGAUACAGGGUGAUAGUCCCGUAGUUGACGACGUGUGUUCAGUGAAAUCGAGUAGGGCGGGACACGUGAUAUCCUGUCUGAAUAUGGGGGGACCAUCCUCCAAGGCUAAAUACUACUGACUGACCGAUAGUGAACCAGUACCGUGAGGGAAAGG
rnacentral:rRNA from 1 species